rnacentral:lncRNA from 1 species
AUGGAUCAGUUAGUGAAGUGUCCAGAGGAUCAGUAUACCAACAGAUUUUCACAUUUCCUCAAAAAUAUUGUGCACUUUCUUGCUUAUGAAGAUACCUUGGUCAUGGCACUUAGAGACUUAGCUAUGUGCUUCUCAGCACUUAGAGCAGGUGUAAGCUACGUCUUCUUGAAACACAGAGAAACUCCUAUAGUCCAGGCCAAUAAUGAAACACUC